rnacentral:rRNA from 1 species
GGCCUACGGGAGGCAGCAGUGGGGAAUAUUGCACAAUGGGGGAAACCCUGAUGCAGCGACGCCGCGUGAGUGAAGAAGUAAUUCGUUAUGUAAAGCUCUAUCAGCAGGGAAGAAAAUGACGGUACCUGAGUAAGAAGCCCCGGCUAACUACGUGCCAGCAGCCGCGGUAAUACGUAGGGGGCAAGCGUUAUCCGGAUUUACUGGGUGUAAAGGGAGCGCAGACGGCAGUGCAAGUCUGGAGUGAAAGGCGGGGGCUCAACCC